CAAAGGGGCAUAGCCCUGGCACCCCAGGGCUUCCCCUGGGCUGGCUCCUGGCACCUGAGCCCCAGAAGUGCCACCUGAGCCCCAGAUGUGCCAGGGAGAGCCCCCAGCUCCGGGGUGUGACCCCCCCAGUCACCCCCAGCAGCCCAGGAGUGUCCCCUGCUCUGUGACCCUGAGACCACCCCGCGCUCGCUGCUGGGGCUGCCCCGCUCCUGGGACUGUCACAUUUUGUGUAUCUUGGCAGGAUAUCCAGGAGAACAAAACCUGGCUCCCUAGCAGGGGGAAAAAAUGGUGUUUUCUUUUUAUUUAUUUAUUUUAAACAACUUCCUCUGCUGCUUUCCAUCCCCAGGGCUGUACACAGAUCCUGCUGAGCCAAACUCUCUGCUGUUUAUUUUUAGGGACAAAAACAAUCUCCUGGUGCUGCAGCCCCCGUUGAAUCUCCCCAGAGCCCGGCUCUGGAAGAUCUUUCAAACCACUCCCAUGCCCGCAGAUGCCUCCGUCUCCUCCUCCAUCCUGCACCUUGCAAAACUGGAAGCAGCAACCUUUGAGGCUGGCCAGAAGGAAUAAAGUGCAUGGGACAGCUCAGGCUCAGGAGCUGGGGCAGGAUGGACAUCAGCACUUGGCUGUGCCU